AGUGAACGCUGGCGGUAGGCCUAACACAUGCAAGUCGAACGGCAGCACAGUAAGAGCUUGCUCUUACGGGUGGCGAGUGGCGGACGGGUGAGGAAUACAUCGGAAUCUACUUUUUCGUGGGGGAUAACGUAGGGAAACUUACGCUAAUACCGCAUACGACCUACGGGUGAAAGCAGGGGAUCUUCGGACCUUGCGCGAUUGAAUGAGCCGAUGUCGGAUUAGCUAGUUGGCGGGGUAAAGGCCCACCAAGGCGACGAUCCGUAGCUGGUCUGAGAGGAUGAUCAGCCACACUGGAACUGAGACACGGUCCAGGCUCCUACGGGAGGCAGCAGUGGGGAAUAGUGGACAAUGGGCGCAAGCCUGAUCCAGCCAUACCGCGUGGGUGAAGAAGGCCUUCGGGUUGUAAAGCCCUUUUGUUGGGAAAGAAAAGCAGCAGGUUAAUACCCCGCUGUUCUGACGGUACCCAAAGAAUAAGCACCGGCUAACUUCGUG
rnacentral:rRNA from 1 species